CUACGGGGGGCAGCAGUGAGGAAUAUUGCACAAUGGGGGGAACCCUGAUGCAGCAACGCCGCGUGGAGGAUGACGCAUUUCGGUGUGUAAACUCCUUUUAUAUGUCAAGAAACUGACGGUAGCAUAUGAAUAAGCACCGGCUAACUCCGUGCCAGCAGCCGCGGUAAUACGGAGGGUGCAAGCGUUACUCGGAAUCACUGGGCGUAAAGGACGCGUAGGCGGGUUGGAAAGUCAGGUGUGAAAUCCUACAGCUUAACUGUAGAACUGCACUUGAAACUUCUAAUCUAGAGUAUGGGAGGGGGAGAUGGAAUUAGUGGUGUAGGGGUAAAUUCCGUAGAUAUCACUAGGAAUACCUAAAGCGAAGGCGAUCUCCUGGAACAUUACUGACGCUAAGGCGUGAUAGCGUGGGGAGCAAACAGGAUUAGAUACCCGGGUAGUC
rnacentral:rRNA from 1 species